GGGAAACAGCCCAGAUCGUACGCUAAGGUCCCUAAGCAAUCACUUAGUGGAAAAGGAAGUGAUCGAGCGAUGACAACCAGGAGGUGGGCUUGGAAGCAGCCAUCCUUUGAAGAAAGCGUAAUAGCUCACUGGUCUAGCUCCAUGGCACCGAAAAUGUCUGACGGGUCAAGUGAUUCACCAAAGCGACGAGACCUUGAAAGAAGCUU
rnacentral:ncRNA from 1 species